UACGUAGGGCGCAAGCGUUAUCCGGAAUUAUUGGGCGUAAAGAGCUCGUAGGCGGUUUGUCGCGUCUGCCGUGAAAGUCCGGGGCUCAACUCCGGAUCUGCGGUGGGUACGGGCAGACUAGAGUGAUGUAGGGGAGACUGGAAUUCCUGGUGUAGCGGUGAAAUGCGCAGAUAUCAGGAGGAACACCGAUGGCGAAGGCAGGUCUCUGGGCAUUAACUGACGUUGAGGCGCGAAAGCGUGGGGAGCAAACAGG
rnacentral:rRNA from 1 species